ACGGCCGUGUCCCUCUGUGCGUGAGCCAGGGACUCAGGCCUCAGACAGGGCUCUCCCUUGUAGUGAGCAGAGUGGCCCUGGCCCUUAUUUGAGGCGGUCACCUGGGUGCUGCUACUGCUGCCACUCCAGGGCUGCUUUGCGGAGCCACUGUCUUUGGGCUGUAGCUCUCACCACUCUUUCCCAGCAGGCGUGGGUUCUUAGACUUUAGUGGGCCACCUUUCACUGGAAAGCGUGCUUCCUUCCCAACAGAGCAAGCGGACCAACUUGAAGAAGCCCAACUCGGAGCGGACGGGGCACGGGCUGAGAGUCCGGUUUAACCCCCUGGCACUGCUCCUAGACGCGUCUCUGGAAGGAGAGUUCGAUCUGGUGCAGAGGAUCAUCUAUGAGGUGAGCUGCAGCCGGGGACCCGUGCACGCUGCUGGGGGCGAGGGGAUGGGCGCUCACAGGCCAUGUGUCCUAGGUGGAAGAUCCCAGCAAGCCCAACGACGAAGGGAUCACCCCACUGCACAACGCCGUCUGCGCCGGCCACCAUCACAUCGUGAAGUUCCUGCUGGAUUUUGGUGUCAACGUGAAUGCUGCUGAUAGUGAUGGAUGGACGCCGCUGCACUGCGCUGCCUCUUGUAACAGCGUUCACCUCUGCAAACAGCUGGUGGAGAGUGGUGCCGCCAUUUUUGCCUCAACCAUAAGCGACAUUGAAACUGCUGCAGACAAGUGUGAGGAGAUGGAGGAAGGCUACAUCCAGUGCUCCCAGUUUCUAUAUGGGGUGCAGGAAAAGCUGGGUGUGAUGAACAAAGGUGUGGUGUAUGCUCUGUGGGACUACGAGGCCCAGAACAGUGACGAGCUGUCCUUCCACGAAGGGGACGCCCUCACCAUCCUGAGGCGCAAGGACGAAAGCGAGACUGAGUGGUGGUGGGCUCGCCUUGGAGACCGGGAGGGCUAUGUGCCCAAAAACCUGCUGGGGCUGUAUCCACGGAUCAAACCCCGACAGCGAACACUGGCCUGAACUUCCUUUUGGAGCACCGCAUGGUCUUGCCAGCUACCAG
rnacentral:sRNA from 1 species